GACAUCUACCCCUCUUCAAAGAGGUUGCCAAAAAUGGACCAGUUACGAAAAAAAUGGUUGAGUGGAGCAAAGAACUGGGUCCAGUGUACUGUCUCCACAUUGUUUUCAGAACUACAAUCGUUUGUGAUGACUCAACAGUUAUCAAGGUAACUUCAGUUUAGAAUUGAAUUAUUAUUCUGAUUGAACUAUUAUUGUAUUAAAACAUAGGGGGUAUUCUGAGGAGAGU